GCUGAACGCUAGCUACAGGCUUAACACAUGCAAGUCGAGGGACCGGCGCACGGGUGAGUAACACGUAUACAACCUGCCCUUUACUCGGGGAUAGCCUUUCGAAAGAAAGAUUAAUACCCGAUGUAAAGGAUGGGGAUGCGUUCCAUUAGGUUGUUGGUGAGGUAACGGCUCACCAAGCCUUCGAUGGAUAGGGGUUCUGAGAGGAAGGUCCCCCACAUUGGAACUGAGACCCGGUCCAAACUCCUACGGGAGGCAGCAGUGAGGAAUAUUGGUCAAUGGGCGUUAGCCUGAACCAGCCAAUUAGCUUGAAGGAUGAAGGCUUAUGGGUCGUAAACCUCUUUUAUAUAAGAAUAUGUAUUAUAUGAAUAAGGAUCGGCUAACUCCGUGCCAGCAGCCGCGGUAAUUC
rnacentral:rRNA from 1 species